rnacentral:tRNA from 1 species
UCCAAAAUGGCAGAGAUAUGCGAUAGACUUAAAGCCUAUUUACGGAACCCCUUUUGGAU